GAUGAACGCUAGCUACAGGCUUAACACAUGCAAGUCGAGGGGUAACGAGAGGAAAGCUUGCUUUCCUUGUCGACGACCGGCGCACGGGUGAGUAACGCGUAUCCAACCUGCCCCCAACUAAGGAAUAACCUUGCGAAAGUAAGACUAAUACCUUAUAAUUUCCUCAGAUGUCAUCUGACGAGGAAUAAAGAUUUAUCGGUUGUGGAUGGGGAUGCGUCUGAUUAGCUUGUUGGCGGGGUAACGGCCCACCAAGGCAACGAUCAGUAGGGGUUCUGGGAGGAAGGUCCACCACAUUGGAACUGAGACACGGUCCAAACUCCUACGGGAGGCAGCAGUGAGGAAUAUUGGUCAAUGGGCGGAAGCCUGAACCAGCCAAGUAGCGUGCAGGAUGACGGCCCUAUGGGUUGUAAACUGCUUUUAUACAGGAAUAAAGUUAGCCACGUGUGGUUAUUUGUAGGUACUGUAUGAAUAAGGACCGGCUAAUUCCGUGCCAGCAGCCGCGGUAA
rnacentral:rRNA from 1 species